rnacentral:rRNA from 1 species
UACGGGGGGAGCAAGCGUUGUUCGGAUUUACUGGGCGUAAAGGGCUCGUAGGCGGCCAACUAAGUCGGACGUGAAAUCCCCAGGCUCAACCUGGGAACUGCGUCCGAUACUGGAUGGCUUGAAUUCGGGAGAGGGAUGCAGAAUUCCAGGUGUAGCGGUGAAAUGACGUAGAUAUCUGGAGGAACACCGGUGGCGAAGGCGGCUACCUGGCCCAACAUUGACACUGAGACCCGAAAGCGUGGGGAUCAAACAGG